AAUCUUCCACAAUGGACGAAAGUCUGAUGGAGCAACGCCGCGUGAGCGAUGAAGGCAUUCGGGUCGUAAAGCUCUGUUGUUAGGGAAGAACAAGUGCGAGAGUAACUGCUCGCACCUUGACGGUACCUAACCAGACAGCCACUGCUAACUACGUGCCAACCGCCGCGGUAAUACGUAGGUGGCAAGCGUUGUACGGAAUUAUUGGGCGUAAAGAGCGCGCGGGCGGUUUCUUAAGUCUGAUGAGAAAGCCCACGGCUCAAACGUGGAGGGUCAUUGGAAACUGGGAGACUUGAGUGCAGAAGAGGAGAGUGGAAUUCCACGUGUAGCGGUGAAAUGCGUAGAGAUGUGGAGGAACACCAGUGGCGAAGGCGACUCUCUGGUCUGUAACUGACGCUGAGGCGCGAAAGCGUGGGGAGCAAAC
rnacentral:rRNA from 1 species